AGCGAACGCUGGCGGCAGGCUUAACACAUGCAAGUCGAGCGGGCACUUCGGUGUCAGCGGCAGACGGGUGAGUAACACGUGGGAACGUACCCUUCGGUUCGGAAUAACGCUGGGAAACUAGCGCUAAUACCGGAUACGCCCUUUUGUGGAAAGGUUUACUGCCGAAGGAUCGGCCCGCGUCUGAUUAGCUAGUUGGUGGGGUAAUGGCCUACCAAGGCGACGCUCAGUAGCUGGUCUGAGAGGAUGAGCAGCCACACUGGGACUGAGACACGGCCCAGACUCCUACGGGAGGGAGGAGUGAGGAAUAUAGGAAAAGGGGGGCAAGCCUGAUCCAGCCAUGCCGCGUGAGUGAUGAAGGCCUGAGGGUUGUAAAGCUGUUUUGUCCGGGACGAUAAUGACGGUACCGGAAGAAUAAGCCCCGGCUAACUUCGUG
rnacentral:rRNA from 1 species